rnacentral:rRNA from 1 species
CAGCCGUAAACUAUGCUCGCUAGGUGUCAGGCAUGGCGCGACCGUGUCUGGUGCCGCAGGGAAGCCGUGAAGCGAGCCACCUGGGAAGUACGGCCGCAAGGCUGAAACUUAAAGGAAUUGGCGGGGGGAGCACAACAACGGGUGGAGCCUGCGGUUUAAUUGGACUCAACGCCGGGAAGCUCACCGGAUAAGACAGCGGAAUGAUUGCCGGGCUGAAGACUCUGCAUGACUAGCUGAGAGGAGGUGCAUGGCGUAGACGUGU